rnacentral:rRNA from 1 species
UACAGAGGUCCCAAGCGUUGUUCGGAUUCACUGGGCAUAAAGGGUGCGUAGGUGGUGAGGAAAGUCGAAUGUGAAAUCUCCGGGCUUAACCCGGAAAUGGCAUUGGAAACUACCUUGCUAGAGGUUUUGAGGGGGGACUGGAAUUCUCGGUGUAGCAGUGAAAUGCGUAGAUAUCGAGAGGAACACCAAUGGCGAAGGCGAGUCCCUGGAAAACACCUGACACUGAAGCACGAAAGCUAGGGGAGCAAACAGG